AAGGCCUUAGCUUAAUUAAAGCACCUGUUUUGCAUGCAGCCAAUGUGGGCUAAUAUCCCGCAGGUCUUA
rnacentral:tRNA from 1 species